rnacentral:rRNA from 1 species
UGGGGAAUAUUGGACAAUGGGCGGAAGCCUGAUCCAGCAACGCCGCGUGAGGGAUGACGGCCUUCGGGUUGUAAACCUCUUUCGCCUAUGACGAAGGCUCUGCUUUUUGGUGGGGUUGACGGUAGUGGGAGAAGAAGGACCGGCCAACUACGUGCCAGCAGCCGCGGUAAUACGUAGGGUCCGAGCGUUGUCCGGAAUUAUUGGGCGUAAAGGGCUCGUAGGCGGUUUGUCGCGUCGGGAGUGAAAUCCUACAGCUUAACUGUGGGCUUGCUUUCGAUACGGGCAGACUAGAGGUAUGCAGGGGAGAAUGGAAUUCCUGGUGUAGCGGUGAAAUGCGCAGAUAUCAGGAGGAACACCGGUGGCGAAGGCGGUUCUCUGGGCAUUACCUGACGCUGAGGAGCGAAAGUGUGGGGAGCGAACAGG